UUGUCAGCGGAAUUUUGAGAAAUUAUACCGGGAGAGAGAGAGCUGCGAGGACUUGGGUGGAAGUGGGCAGGUGUUGUAACUGGAGUUUGAAGAGCUCAGAGAAGAAUGGCGAUAAGCAUUUAAAAAAAUCUUCAAGAAUGGACUCUGCUUUUUCAUUAGUAGUCACCAGUUUUAUGGUUCAAGGGAAACGGAACUAAGAAAGAACUCAACAGAGAUUGUGCUAUGUGAUGCAGGUGUAAAGAACAAGGUAAGUACAGUUCACUGUACAAAACUUUGGUCAACUUCUGUUUUUAGAUAAUUUAACCCAUUUUAUUCUAAUUUAUGGAAGAUCAAAUGCUAACACUUGCUUUCUCAGACUCAAGUGACUCCCAAACGUGAAUAACUGUGGCAUCUUUGGGAUUCAAACUCUCUAUCUACUGACAGUGAGAAUAAUUUGUUCUCUGUCUCUUUUUUCAGGAAUCUUGGUAAUGAUGUUGCUGCUCAUUACAUGUCUGUAUGUCCUCUUCCUCUCCUUCCCUCUUCCCUCUGGCUGGUUUUGUGGAACAUUCAACGCUGUCGGGUUACAAUCAACAUUCAUUGCUGUCGGUGGAUUUUAGUUUGUGAAAGUCACUGAACAAUGAGUGUAACUGUGCCUGAGUUUCCUGCCUCGCCAUGGGAGAAAGAGACACACUACACAUUCACCCUCUGGGUCCUGCCACCCCCCCCUUUUUAUUUCUGUAAGGCUUGCUUCGUUGUUCUCUCUCUUUAUUGCUCUUCCUCACAGAUCUCAAGUUUUUAAGGGAGACACAAAUAGAACCAAAUGUGCUGCCUGCCUCAUGGGAUUAAUUGGAGGUUGUGUGUGCAGACACGUUUGUGUCUAGCAGAUGGAAGGAAGCGGAAGAUGAAUGUGUAAUCAUCUGGAUGUUCUUCUCAUUUAGCUGUUUUGUUACUUAAAUUAUAUGCUGCACUCGCUGCAGGCCGGAAUGGGCUUAAAUACUGCAUUUUGGAUAUGUGUGUGUGGGGGAUGGGAUCUGGAUGAAUGGUUUGCCAGUUCAUGAAUGUUUCCUUUUGCGUGUUCUUCACAGAACAAAUCCCGGCCCUAACCAUCAGUUUUCUGAAUUAUCUGGACACUAAUGUGAAAUGUUCCUCUCCUACUUAUAAACACAGAAACCCAUUGGGGUAAAGCAAUGCAGCAAGUUGUUCAACAAAAACAAUCAAUUCAAUAUUAAGACAAAGAAAUAUUAGCUGAUUUGCUCUCUGAAAAUCUAAGGGAAAUGCAAAUCCAGAAGUAAAUCACAUGCCUGUCUGAUGGGCACAUUGGCCAAAGCGUGCUGAUUUUAAUGUAUUAAUGGAAACUGUGCUAAGAGCUGUGCUAACACCCUAGUAAAAAUGAGAGCAUUUAUUUAUUUCUGUUAUCCUCUGGCUGUUGAAUAUUGAUGGAAAAAGGUCAUAACAUUGUUAUAUAGUUUAUUACACAAGACUCUUGUCUUCACCCCGUGUCUGUAUGGAUUUCUUUCCACCUCUGAAACUAUGCCGGUAGGUGGAAUGGCUACACUAAAUUUCUGCUAUGUGUGAAUGAUUCUGUAAUGUUUGUGUCUACAUAAACAUUUUGUAAGUGAGAUACUGUCUGCAAAAAAUUUGCAUUGUCUAAUUAUUUAUUUGAAUAUUUUGUAGUAACUUGAACACCUUUUGAAAAUAUUUGCUAGAUCACUGAAAUCUACGUUAGACACCUCUAAUCCUAGAGCCACUUAACUUUUGCUUUUGAAGUACAACAAGCUGAGCAAUGUAGAACUGCAACAACUAAUCGACAAAAUCGAUAAAAAUCAAUGAUAGAAAUAGUUGGCAACGAAUUUCAUUAUCAUUUAGUUGAAAUGUGUUAUGAAGCACACUAAAAACACAUUUGACUGAAAUGGCGGAGCAGGAAGAACAGUACAACUUUCUCUACGGUAUGGAAACUUGCAGUACACUACCCUGCUGGCCUCAUGACAUAAGUUGUGUUUUAAUGUGAGUGAUAUCAUCAUUCAUUUGUGAGAAUGUGAGAAACAGUGGAAUCGUGAUGUCCCUGCUUGAACCAUCCGCCUUGUAUUGAGUUUUCUGACCUUAUUCGGUUUUCUGGCCGUAUCACACAUUUAUGGUCAUAUGUCUAACUUUCCAAGUCUAUCAGAAAAUAUUAUUUCACUCUACUUUGGUCAAAUCAUGAAUAGUUUGUAUAAAAACUCGAUGGGUUGAAAAUGAACACGGCCUCAAAUUAAUAAUUAGACUGCAAAACAAAUGUUUUAUAUAUAAGACAAGCAUCUUUGGAAUAUCCUGAACAAAGAAGUCCGAUCCGUGGAGGCCCCACCUCACAACCUACAGGACUUAAAGGAUCUUGUGCUAACAUCUUGGUGCCAGACACUACAGCACACCUACAGAGGUCUUGUGGAGUCCAUACCUCGACGGAUCAGAGCUGUUUUGGCGGCAAAAGAGGGACCUACACAAUAUUAGGCAGGUGGUUUUAAUGUUAUGGCUGAUUGGUGUGUGUGUGUGUGUGUGUGUGUGU